rnacentral:rRNA from 1 species
UCCGUAGGUGAACCUGCGGAAGGAUCAUUAUCAUUAGGGCUUUAGCCCUGUUAAGAUAGAACCCUUGCUAUUUAUUUGCGUACCUGUUUGUUUCCUUAGUAGGCUCGCCCGCCAAUAAGGACCUUAACUUAACUCUUGUAUCAUUGUCUGUAUAGUCUAAAUCAAAAUUAAAAUUAAAACUUUUAACAACAGAUCUCUUAGUUCUAGCAUCAAUAAAGAACGCAGCAAAAUGUGAUAAGUAGUGUGAAUUGCAGAAUUUAGUAAAUCAUCAAAUCUUUGAACGCACAUUGCGCCCUUUAGUAUUCCUUAGGGCAUGCCUGUUUGAGUGUUAUUUACACCUUUAAGCUCUGCUUAGUGUUAGGCGUCUAUCCUGUCCCCCUUAGGGGCGUAGACUCGCCUUAAAUCUAUUAGUAGCUAGUACUAUGGCUUUAAGCGCAGCACAUUAGCGAACCUUAUUGCUAGAGCGUAUCAGCUCCUAGAAGCCUAUUUCUCAUGUUUUGACCUCAGAUCAAGUAGGGAUACCCGCUGAACUUAAGCAUAUCAAUAAGGCGGGAGGGGAAGGUCGGACUGGCCAAGGGCACACAGGGGGGGAUA